UUAUAAUUGGCCGCCCCAAUGAAUUCGCGCAAUUUUCAAGGUAAAAGUUGUCGAAGCGAACAUCAAAUGGUUUGAAAUAUGUG
ensembl:ncRNA W01A11.16 ncRNA